AAAUAAGCUUAUUUAAAUUUUUAGCCUUUAGCCAAGAAUAGUUGUUUGAAUUGUUGAGGACUUUGGGAGGAGAAUCAAAAAAUAAAACGAAUAUUUUUUCUUGGCUUUUCUUGGUUCCUGAUGAAUUGCCUGAUGCUACCAAUACUGCUUAGUUGUUAUUGUGUUGUCAAGAACUCGGUGCUGAGUUUGAAGUGAUUGAAGCAUUAGCCUCUGUGAAUAUCUACAAGGAUAUUUUCAAAGAAGUUUCGAAAACUCAGAUUCAAUACAAACUGGAAUGGAACCUGGUUUUAGUAUCAGGAUGAUGCUGGCCUCCUAAAAUGAAGAGUCCCUCUUUUUCUAUUAUUUGGAAUACUUUCAGAAGAAGUGGUACAAUAUCCUCUUUGUAUGUCUGAUAGAAUUUGGCUGCGAAUCUGUCUGGUCCUGGCCUUUUGUUGAAUCCCAUCAAGGACACCACAUUGCAUUUAGCAGUCAUGUCUCCUUAGGUUCCUCUUGGCUGCUACAGUUUCUCAAACUUUCUUUGCUUUUGAUCAUCUUGAUGGUUUUGUGGAGCUCUGAUCAGGUACAACUGGGAUUUGUGUGAUGUUUUUCUUAUGAGUAGACCUGGGUUAUUGUUCUUUUGGGAGGAAGACCACAGAUGCAAAAUACCAUUUUAAUCAAAUCAUAUCAAGGGUACAUACUAUCAAUAUGACUUAUCACUGUUCAUGUGGCUGAGGUAGUGCUUGUCAGAUUUCUCUGCUCUAAAGUCAUUCUUUUUUAGCCUUUAAUGCUAUACUCUUUAGAAGGAAGUCAUGAUGCAUAUUUCACACUUAAGGAGUGGAGAGCUAUGCUCCCCUUGAAAACAGGGCAUUGACAAAAAUUUUUUGAAAUUAAUAUACACCGGAAAUUUGUUUCUUGUCACCCAUGUAUUUAUUGAAUUGUUCAUUUAUUUAGAUCAUUCUGUACUAAUAAAUAUGUUAUACUUUAUAUUACAAUUUAAUACUACAGCAUUUAUUUUAUUGCUCC
rnacentral:lncRNA from 1 species